rnacentral:rRNA from 1 species
UGGGGAAUAUUGGGCAAUGGGCGCAAGCCUGACCCAGCAACGCCGCGUGAAGGAAGAAGGCCUCGGGUUGUAAACUUCUUUUAUCAGGGACGAAGAAGUGACGGUACCUGAUGAAUAAGCCACGGCUAACUACGUGCC